GAUGAAGAACGUAGCGAAAUGCGAUAAGUAAUGUGAAUUGUAGAAUUCAGUGAAUCAUCGAAUCUUUGAACGCACAUUGCGCCCCCUGGUAUUCCGGGGGGCAUGCCUGUUCGAGCGUCAUUACAACCCUCAAGCUCUGCUUGGUAUUGGGCCCCGCCAGUUCUGGCGGGCCCUAAAGUCAGUGGCGGUGCCUUCCGGCUCCGAGCGUAGUAAUUCUUCUCGCUCUGGAGACCCGGUUGUGUGCUUGCCAACAACCCCCAAUUUUUUAAGGUUGACCUCGGAUCAGGUAGGGAUACCCGCUGAACUUAAGCAUAUCAAUAAGCGGAGGA
rnacentral:misc_RNA from 1 species